CCUUCCCUCCAGCCUGAGGUCCCUGGGAAGGGCAGAGACCCUGCUCCCUCUCCCCCAACCCACCCAGGCCAGAAGCAUCUCGGUCCUCCCAGACCCCAAGGGCCACUCCCCAGGCAGUGCCUCCUACUGGGGCUGCUCCUUGACAGCUGCUGUCCCCUCCCCAGAGCAGAGUGCAACAAGCCCAAACAGCCAGGCCCUGCCCCCCUCAGCUGAACCCUGUGCACAGACACUGCUCCGGCUGGGUGGCCGGUGUCCAGCUGGGAGGUCCUCAGGCUCCAACACCUCAGCCUGGACACGCAGCAGCCGCUCCAGGCCCUCUGCCGUCCUGACCAGGAGCACAGGAUCCCUUCCCAGACUGUUUUAUUGCAGUAAGAUGCACAUAGUACGCAGCCUGGUAGGGACGCACAUCUGUCAUCCCAGCACCCUGGAGACAAGGCCGGAGGGCGUGGGUCACAGACUAGCCUCAGCAUUUAGGAAAAUCCUGUCUUGAAAACCAGCCGACCAGCCACAGAGCCGACCCCUUCCCAGCUCAGCUGUCUCUUGAGCGACUUCAUUGUGCACUGUUGGGGAUCAGAGCCAGCUCUGGUGUCGCCAGGUCAGGCCGCUGCCACCCCCAGCCCUCACCCACCUUCCCACCACACGGUUUCAGCUCCAUGAUGAAAGUACAAAUGACUGGGCAGACGCAUCAGCAAGGUUCCCGUAUUCCGCGUGGAGUCAGUCGGGCACUGGAGGGCUCAUUUCUGGGUACAAAAAUGGCCCCAGGUUCCAGAAGGAGCCUGGGUUUUAUAGUUUACACUGAGGGUGAACUGAUCCUUCGAGACGGCGGACACGUGGAUGGGACACUGAGGGACCUACUUGUGCAGGUUAAAAUGUCAGGGGAAGGGAGCCGCUGAGACCCUGGGGUGAGGCCUCAAGUCCCGCCCAGCGCUCUCCUCUUCCUCUGGAAGUCCCCCCACUAGGCCUCCACACAGCACUGAUGGGCAAGGGGGGAGGUCGAGCUUGGGGCCCCCCUCCUCCAGGACCCACCAGGGCUGGGAAGGAGCCUGGGAGGGAGAAGGCCUGCUCUCCCCUGGGCCACGUUACUGGGGAGGACUUUCUCCUGGCAGAGGGUCAGGUUUGGCUGAUUUUCUUCCCCCUCCCAAGCCACGCUCUCUCCACAUUUCCCGCCAGGGUUGUCUGGUAGGAAUGUCUUCUCCGUAACCUUUCCUUUUCUUCCUCCCUGUCUUCCCACCUUCCUUCCUGUUCCAGACGGGUCUCUCUCUGUUGCCCAGGCUGGUCUCCAGACCCUGGGCUCAAGUGAUCCUCCUGUCUCAGCCUCCCUAGCUGGGACUACAGGUGUGCCACCAUGAUGAACUUCCUUUGUAGAGCUGAAGAGUAUUCCAUGAUGUGGAUGGCCUGUCCAUUCAUUGGUGGAUGGACACUUGGGCUGCUUCUGUGCCGGCUGUGGUAGACAGCAUUGCUGUGUGCAUGGAGUACAAGCACCCCCCCCAGGACCCUGAUUUCAGUUUUGGGGGUAUAUAUCUUCAAUCGGAGCUGCUGGGUCACGUGGGGAGCGGCCAGACUGUCCCCUACAGCAGUGGCCCUGCUUUCCUUUCUUCUCACCUUUUUUGAACUGGGGACUGACCCUGGGCUCUGCCUCCGAGCUGCCCUCAGUCCUUUUCAUCUCUCAUUCUCCAACCUCCUGCCUCGGCCCCGGGAGCCUCUGGGAUGACAGGUGUGUCCCUGUGCUGGGCUCAUUUAACAUUCUUACCAACUGUGCGCCAGGCCUCUGAGGUCCCCGAUUCUCCCCUGCAGCCUGGCGCAGUCAUCCCAGUGAGGGGGGGCACCUGCGGCUACAGCUGCUGAGUGUCCCCUCUCUAGCCGGCCACUGUGCCCCUUUGGAGAGGUGUCUCUCCAGGCCUGCGCCUGCUUUGUGAAUCAGGCUGCUUCUUGGCUGAGUCUCAGGGGUUCUCUCUUCCUGAUAGCAACCCCCUACCACACAGUGACCGGUAAACACUUCCAGAUUCUCUUUGGGUAGCCCUUGUACUUUUGAUGCCAUUCUUUGGUACACAAAGUCUGUGUGCGCGCGAAGCAGGCAAGGAGCCCAGGGCUGUGGGCACUGGCUAGGCACACCCUACUCGGGGUGCCCUGGCUCUGGCUUGGACCUUGGUCUUUCGCGUUUUAAUUCUGGUAUGUGGUAUCAGCCAAGGCCGUUCCGUCCUCUUCCCCCCCCCCCCCAAGGACUGUUUAGGCUACUUGGGCCCCUUGAGAUUCCCUACGAGAUUACAAAUAAAUUCUAAGAUUCUGAGAGAAAAAAGUCAUGGGGUUUUGACCAGGCUGGACCUGAAUCUGCGGAUCACCCGGGCCAGUGGUUGUCGGGCCUGAUAGAAGGGUCAAGGUUCAUUUUUGCCACUUGGAUGUCGGUUUCCCAGCACUUUCUAUGCCAAAGACUUUUUCUAUCACUGGGCAGAUUUAUUGGCAAUGAUCCAGCAGUGUGCACGCUGCUCUGCCCAGGAUCGUCCCUGGUUUCUGGGCACCAGCCACUCUCCCCAUUCCUGCCCCUCAGCACACCGAGAGCAGUGGAGGCCCCCACCCCCGGAACACCACCCUCGUGACCUCAGUGUCCCCCCUGGCUGCCAGGCUUGGACCUUCCCAGACCUGAUAAACAAGGUGUCUGACGUCGGGCUCUGAACUCCACCUCCUGGCCCCUGGCUGCAGACGCAGGUGGAGGACCCCUCUGCUGCUGUCCCCAGGAUGAGCUGCAGCACCAAGUUGCCCCCAAGCGUGCUGUGGACAGAUCCCCGGUGCCCAGUGCUGCUUGGGCCUCUCAACCAGCCCAUCUCGGGAGGCUUUGGGCAGUCCCUUAUGUAUAAUUCGAUGGUUUUCAUCACACUCACAGAGUUGUGCAACCAUGGAAUAAACUAAUGCUCAGCCGUGGCUGCCAGGAAACAGACCUCUCCUGCAGCUUAGGGGCGACGCCUUCUGCAGAGUCUA